rnacentral:rRNA from 1 species
ACACGUCUACAUUAGACUACCCCUGUACGUCCCAGCCGUAAACUAUGCGCGUUAGGUGUAUCGGUGACCACGAGUCACCGAGGUGCCGAAGGGAAACCGUGAAACGUGCCGCCUGGGAAGUACGGUCGCAAGGCUGAAACUUAAAGGAAUUGGCGGGGAGCACCACAACGGGUGGAGCCUGCGGUUUAAUUGGACUCAACGCCGGGAAGCUCACCGGAUAAGACAGCGGAAUGAUUGCCGGGCUGAAGACUCUGCAUGACUAGCUG